AGUGGGGAAUAUUGGACAAUGGGCGCAAGCCUGAUCCAGCCAUACCGCGUGGGUGAAGAAGGCCUUCGGGUUGUAAAGCCCUUUUGUUGGGAAAGAAAUCCAGCCGGUUAAUACCUGGUUGGGAUGACGGUACCCAAAGAAUAAGCACCGGCUAACUUCGUGCCAGCAGCCGCGGUAAUACGAAGGGUGCAAGCGUUACUCGGAAUUACUGGGCGUAAAGCGUGCGUAGGUGGUGAUUUAAGUCCGUUGUGAAAGCCCUGGGCUCAACCUGGGAAUUGCAGUGGAUACUGGGUCACUAGAGUGUGGUAGAGGGUGGCGGAAUUCCCGGUGUAGCAGUGAAAUGCGUAGAGAUCGGGAGGAACAUCCGUGGCGAAGGCGGCCACCUGGGCCAACACUGACACUGAGGCACGAAAGCGUGGGGAGCAAA
rnacentral:rRNA from 1 species